AACGCUAGCUACAGGCUUAACACAUGCAAGUCGAGGGGUAGCAGGGUAGCAAUACCGCUGACGACCGGCGCACGGGUGAGUAACACGUAUCCAACCUGCCGCUUACUCGGGGAUAGCCUUUCGAAAGAAAGAUUAAUACCCGAUGGUAUAAAGAGUUCGCAUGUUCUCUUUAUUAAAGAAUUUCGGUAAGCGAUGGGGAUGCGUUCCAUUAGAUAGUUGGCGGGGUAACGGCCCACCAAGUCUACGAUGGAUAGGGGUUCUGAGAGGAAGGUCCCCCACAUUGGAACUGAGACACGGUCCGAACUCCUACGGGAGGCAGCAGUGAGGAAUAUUGGUCAAUGGACGAGAGUCUGAACCAGCCAAGUAGCGUGAAGGAUGACUGCCCUAUGGGUUGUAAACUUCUUUUAUAAGGGAAUAAAGUGAGGGACGUGUCCCUUUUUGUAUGUACCUUAUGAAUAAGGAUCGGCUAACUCCGUGCCAGCAGCCGCGGUAAUACGGAGGAUCCAAGCGUUAUCCGGAUUUAUUGGGUUUAAAGGGAGCGUAGGUUGACAUAUAAGUCAGCUGUGAAAGUUUACGGCUCAACCGUGAAAUUGCAGUUGAUACUGUAUGUCUUGAGUGUACAAGAGGUGGGCGGAAUUCGUGGUGUAGCGGUGAAAUGCUUAGAUAUCACGAAGAACUCCGAUUG
rnacentral:rRNA from 1 species